rnacentral:pre_miRNA from 1 species
GUUCUACUCCCUCCGUUCGGAAUUACUUGUCGAAGAAAUGAAUGUAUCUAGACGUAUUUUAGUUCUAGAUACAUCCAUUUCCGAGACAAGUAAUUCCGAACGGAGGGAGUAUUUC